rnacentral:lncRNA from 1 species
GGCUCCUUAGAUAUAUAGCAAACAAGCUUUGAAUGGUCCUGCUUGGAGUACGGUAAAGGCCGAGCUAGCUUCCGGAAGCUCUCUUGUGAGAGCGGGUCCUCCUUGGUACAACCCUCUUCAAAACCAUAUCUGGAUCAUGUCAAGGUACAACACUCAAACCACAAUAAAAAAUCACAUUAUGGUGUCACUUUGAAAUAUUACUUUCUUCCCUAUUUAUUUCAGAUGCAGAAAAUAGACAUCAAAUUUUAUAGAGUUU